rnacentral:lncRNA from 1 species
AAAGCUCACAGCAAAGCUGGAACUUCUGACCAGGUACCGUCUUUGUUAGGAAGUCUGCAGGAUUGACAUUAGUAUGAAUCUUGUUUAGGACAAUAUCCCCUGAUUCCACUAGGUCUCGAAUGAAGUUGAACUUGGUAGCUAUAUGCUUUGUCUUUUCGUGAUUGACUGGAUUUCUUGCUAGAGCUAGGGCACUUUGAGAAUCGCAGUAGAGUUUGAUCCCCUGUUGCUUGAAACCUAGUUCAUUGCAUAUUUCUUUUGCCCACAUUUCUUCUUUUGCUGCUUCAUUCAUAGCCAUGUACUCUGCUUCUGUAAUAGAUAAGGCAACCACUGAUUGUAAACAUGACUUCCAUGAGAUAGCAUUACCUCCAAAUUUGAAUGCAUAUCCAGUUACUGAACGCCUUCUAUCCAUGUCUGUUGCAUAAUCUGAGUAUGAGUAUCCUUCCACUAGGAGUGUAGAGUUCUUUCUGAAUGUUAAAUUCGAAUUCACUGCUUCCUUUAAGUACCUUAGGACCCACUGAACUGCUUUCCAGUGUUCCCUUCCUGGUUUACUCAUGAAUCUGCAGACGUAGCCUACUGCAAAACCUAGGUUAGGUCUGGAGCCUACCAUGGCGUACAUUAGGCUCCCCACGGCGCUGGCAUAGGGAACUCUUUCCAUCUGAGAAGCCUCCACUUUCCACUCGUCAUCUGUGAGACUUCUUAGUUUGAAAUGUGAUGCAGUAGGAGUAAUCACGGCCUUAGCGUCCUACAUUCCAAACGUCCUUAGGACUUUCUCAAUGUAUUUGCUCUGAGAUAGGAUCAGGGUUCCCUUCUCUCGAUAUCUGGUGAUAUCAAUGCCCAAGAUUCUUGAGGCCUUUCCCAUGUCCUUCAUCUCAAAUUCUCCACUCAACUUUUCCUUCAGCUCUUUUAUCACCUUUUUAUUUCCUGAGGCAAUCAACAUGUCAUCGACAUAUAGGAGUAGAUAGAUCGCCUUAUUAGUUUGAACAUCCCUCAUGUAGACACAUAGGUCCUUACUGCAACGUUCAAAUAGCUGAUCCUUCAUGAAGAUGUUGAACCGAUGGUUCCAUCUUCUUGGGGAUUGCCAUACAGAGACUUCCUUAACAGACAUACUUUGUUCUCUGUCCCUGGCUUUAUGAACCCCUCGGGCUGUUCCAUAAGGAUUAUUUCCUCUAGGCUUCCAUGUAGGAAAGCAGUUUUAACAUCCAUUUGUUCUAGUUCCAAAUUCAAAUUCACUACAAUGCUGAGCAUAAGUCUGAUAGAGACAUGUUUCACAAAAGGUGAAAAUAUUUCAUUGUAGUCAAUUCCUUAUGUCUGAGAAUAUCCUUUAGCAACUAGUCUGUCUUUGCAUCGUUCAUCCUCAACACCUGGGAUUCAUGGCUUUAGCUUGAAUAGCCAUCUGCAUCCAACAAGCUUUGCCUUUGUAGGCCUAUCAAUGAGAUCCCAGGUUCUGUUCUUUCUAUGAGAUUCCAUUUCUUCUUCUGCUGCCUGCUUCCAUAGUUUCUUUUCUCGGCUUCUCAUAGCUUCUGCGUAGCUUUUUGGUUCCUGAACUUCUAAGUCCUCAAUCACAUUGAGAGCGUAAGCUACAAAAUUCCCAUCUUCAUAUCGUGAUGGUGGUCUCACGUUCUGUCUCCUUUCCCUAUCUCGUGCCAGAACAUAGGUGUCUAGAGAUUCAGUGUCACCACUCUCACUCUCAACCUCGUGAUCACUUUCACUAUCAGCUUCGUGAUCUUGUUCUUGGUCACCUGAGCUGUUAGAGCUAGAUGAUGAUGAUUCUUCUCCACCUUGAUCAGAUGUGUCUUUGGAUUCGACAGAAGGAGAAGGCCCUCUGAUCAAAUCAUCACUGAAUGAAACUUUCUUCUUAGCUCGUUUGUCAGUUCCUUUGGUCACUCCUGUGCUUCGUUUUUCUUUAGCAACAAUGUGUUUGUACAGCUCUUCUUCGUUAAAAACAAUGUUUCUGCUGUUCUGCAUCUGCAUUCGUCCUCUAUCCAAACUCGGUAACCUUUAGUACCCAUAGGAUAUCCCACGAAGACUCCCUUGAUGGCUCUCGGUCCCAUUUUCUCCUCAGUUAUAUGCACAUAAGCAGUGCAUCCAUAUGUUCUGAGAUGUCCCAAGUCGGGCUUAGCACCUGUCCAAACUUCUUCGGGCAUUUUGAAUUCUAGUGUAGAGUUAGGUGACCUGUUAAUCAUAUGGAUAGCAGUAGAUGCAGCUUCUACACAGAAGCUUUGGUCUAGGCCAGAUUCGGCUAACGUGCAUCUCACUUUAUCCAUGAUGGUUCUAUUCAUCCUUUCUGAGACCCCAUUCUGCUGCGGGGUAUACCUGCAGGUUCUGUGGCGUUUAAUUCCCACCUGUUUGCAGUAAUUAUCAAACUGCUUAUUACAGAACUCCAACCCAUUAUUUGUCCUUAGGCAUUUGAUUUUCUUUUCUGUCUUUUUCUCCACCUCAGCUUUCCAUUCUCUGAACUUAGAGAAUACGUCAUCCUUAAUCUUCAGAAAAUAAAUCCAAACCUUCUUAGAGAAAUCAUCAAUAAAUGUCACGAAAUACUUGCUUCCAGCAAGGCUAUCUGGUGUAGAUGGAGAACCCCAAAGGUCAGAGUGAAUAUACUCUAGAAUCCCUUUAGUUACAUGCUUAGCCUUAGGAAAACUUUGCUUGUGAGAUUUUCCAAUUAUGCAGUGUUCACAGAAAUCCAAUGUCUUAACUUCCUUGUCAAUGAUAAAUCCCCGUUUGACAAGUUCAGACAUGUUAUUAAGAUUCAUAUGACCGAGGCGUGAAUGCCAAACAUUAGUCAUAUUCUUCUCAACUUUAGAUAGAUUAGCCUCUCCUCGAGAGACUGUCCCCUGUAGAUAAUAUAAUCCCUGAUGAUAUUUCCCUGAGAUAACCGGUUGAUCAUCCUUAUAGAAAUUAACCAUGAGAUCCUUGCCUUCAUAUCUGCAUCCUGAUGUUUCCAACAUUCCAUAAGAGAUUAAAUUUCUACUCAUACCAGGCAUAUAUCUUACGCCUGUUAGAACCACAGUAGAUCCAUUUGGAUUUAGAAUUUUAAUCUUUCCAAUUCCUUGAAUGUUGCUAUGCGUGUUAUUUGCCAUUAACACUUUUCCACCUUUGAAUUCUUCCAGAUCGAACAGGAAACUCUUGUCUGGUGUGACGUGGAAUGAGCAGCCAGAGUCCAUCACCCAUUCAUCCUUGGAGUAUUGGGUGCUUACGGUGAGAAUUAAAGGUUCCUUGGACUCUAUCACAACAUUAGCUGAGUCUGGCGUUUUGUAAGGCUUUUUAUCAGGGCAAUCACGCUUCCAGUGGCCCUCCUUGCCGCAUACAAAACAUCCCUUGGUGUUUUUGUUGUUUCCGGGACGCGAUUUGGAACGUCCAUGUCUGCUUUUGGAUCUUCCCCUGUAGGAUUUUCCAUUGCCUUUGCCAGAGCAUUGGUCUGAUCUUCCCCUGUCUGUCACCAUCAGACCUUUUCCACCUGACCUGGUAAAUUUACCACUCUCGAUCAACUCUCUUUCUUUCGACCUUGCAGCCCCUGUAACCUUAGCUAGGCUUAGGGUGUCUCUCCCAUACUUGAGAGUCUCUUUGAGUUGAUCAUACUUGUUAGGUAGAGAACUUAGCAGUAGGAUAGCUUGAACUUCCUCGGAUACUUCAACUUGCAAAUUGUUUAAAUCUGCAACUAGCUUCAAGAAUUCAUCCACAUUCUCAUCAAUGGAUUUUGAGUCGGCCAUCUUGAAAGUGUAGAACCUAAGCUGUAGAUAAAUCCUGUUGGGUAAAGAUGUCUCUGUGUACAACUUGUUCAGUGUACUCCACAUUGCAGCAGCAGUCUCACAAUGUUGGAUUUUCCUUAAGACUUUGUUCCCAACAUUCAGCACAAUUAGGUCCUUUGCUUUCUCUGAUUUUUUGAAUUUUGCAGGAUCAAUUGCAGGUGUGGGCGCAACAAGCCCAGCUAGCCCCUUCCCCGUGUCCUUCAUGGCAGACUCAGGUUCAUCCUUUGGAUCCACGUCAUCUUUCAAAAGCUUAUCAUCGGUGAGAAUAGCUUUAAGUCCAAGUACUCCAAAAUGAGCAAGCAUCCUCACCUUCCAUAGGGCGAAAUCACCAUCACCC